rnacentral:rRNA from 1 species
GACGAACGCUGGCGGCGUGCCUAAUACAUGCAAGUAGAACGCACAGUUUAUACCGUAGCUUGCUACACCAUAGACUGUGAGUUGCGAACGGGUGAGUAACGCGUAGGUAACCUGCCUGGUAGCGGGGGAUAACUAUUGGAAACGAUAGCUAAUACCGCAUAAUAUUGAUUAUUGCAUGAUAAUUGAUUGAAAGAUGCUAUUGCAUCACUACCAGAUGGACCUGCGUUGUAUUAGCUAGUAGGUGAGGUAACGGCUCACCUAGGCGACGAUACAUAGCCGACCUGAGAGGGUGAUCGGCCACCCUGGGACUGAGACACGGCCCAGACUCCUACGGGAGGCAGCAGUAGGGAAUCUUCGGCAAUGGACGAAAGUCUGACCGAGAAACGCCGAGUGAGUGAAGAAGGUUUUCGGAUCGUAAAGCUCUGUUGUAAGAGAAGAACGGGUGUGAGAGUGGAAAGUUCACACUGUGACGGUAUCUUACCAGAAAGGGACGGCUAACUACGUG